AGAUUGAACGCUGGCGGCAUGCCUUACACAUGCAAGUCGAACGCGAAAGCGGGGCAACCCGCAAGUAGAGUGGCGAACGGGUGAGUAAUACAUCGGAACAUUUCCAGUAGCGGGGGAUAACCUGUCGAAAGAUAGGCUAAUACCGCAUACGACCUACGGGUGAAAGCGGAGGACCGCAAGGCUUCGCACUAUUGGAGUGGCCGAUGUCGGAUUAGCUAGUUGGCGGGUAACGGCCCACCAAGGCGACGAUCCGUAGCUGGUCUGAGAGGACGAUCAGCCACACUGGAACUGAGACACGGUCCAGACUCCUACGGGAGGCAGCAGUGGGAAUUUGGACAAUGGGCGCAAGCCUGAUCCAGCCAUGCCGCGUGAGUGAAGAAGGCCUUCGGUGUAAGCUCUUUCGGUGGGAAGAAAGUAGGUACGUGCUAAUACCGACGACUGAUGACGGUACCGAAGAAGAAGACACGACUAACUACGUACGCCAGCAGCCGCGGUAACUCGUA
rnacentral:rRNA from 1 species